rnacentral:rRNA from 1 species
GACGAACGCUGGCGGCGUGCUUAACACAUGCAAGUCGAACGGAAAGGCCCUGCUUUUGUGGGGUGCUCGAGUGGCGAACGGGUGAGUAACACGUGAGUAACCUGCCCUUGACUUUGGGAUAACUUCAGGAAACUGGGGCUAAUACCGGAUAGGAGCUCCUGCUGCAUGGUGGGGGUUGGAAAGUUUCGGCGGUUGGGGAUGGACUCGCGGCUUAUCAGCUUGUUGGUGGGGUAGUGGCUUACCAAGGCUUUGACGGGUAGCCGGCCUGAGAGGGUGACCGGCCACAUGGGGACUGAGAUAGGGCCCAGACUCCUACGGGAGGAAGCAGUGGGGAAUAUUGCACAAUGGGCGGAAGCCUGAUGCAGCAAGGCCGCGUGCGGGAUGACGGCCUUCGGGUUGUAACCCGCUUUCGCAUGUGACGAAGCGUGAGUGACGGUAAUGGGUAAAGAAGCACCGGCUAACUACGUG